AACGAACGCUGGCGGCAUGCCUAACACAUGCAAGUCGAACGAGACCUUCGGGUCUAGUGGCGCACGGGUGCGUAACGCGUGGGAACCUGCCCUUAGGUUCGGAAUAACUCCCCGAAAGGGGUGCUAAUACCGGAUAAUGUCUUCGGACCAAAGGUUUAUCGCCUUUGGAUGGGCCCGCGUUGGAUUAGCUAGUUGGUAGGGUAAAAGCCUACCAAGGCGACGAUCCAUAGCUGGUCUGAGAGGAUGAUCAGCCACACUGGGACUGAGACACGGCCCAGACUCCUACGGGAGGCAGCAGUGGGGAAUAUUGGACAAUGGGCGAAAGCCUGAUCCAGCAAUGCCGCGUGAGUGAUGAAGGCCUUAGGGUUGUAAAGCUCUUUUACACGGGAUGAUAAUGACAUUACCGGGAGAAUAAGCACCGGCUAACUCCGUG
rnacentral:rRNA from 1 species